ensembl:snoRNA
GUGCCCUUUUGUUAGAGCUGACAGAGUGCUUUAAGAGGCUAACACAGAAGGGAAAAUAAGUCUCCAUAAAACCCAGGGAAGAUAUUGGACCCCGUCUGCAGUCACAGCU